rnacentral:rRNA from 1 species
GACAGAGGUGCCGAGCGUUAGGCGGAAUCACUGGGCUUAAAAGCGUGUGUAGGCGGAUCGUUAGGUGCCUUGUGAAAUCCCACGGCUCAACCGUGGAACUGCUUGGCAUACUGGCGAUCUUGAGCCACUUAGGGGCUACCGGAACAAAUGGUGGAGCGGUGAAAAUGCGUAGAUAUCAUUUGGAACGCCAAUGGUGAAAACAGGUAGCUGGGAGUGUGCUGACGCUGAGACACGAAAGCCAGGGGAGCAAACGGG